rnacentral:tRNA from 1 species
GGUGUGGCUCAUUGGUAUGGCACUAGCCUAGCAAGCAGGAGAUCCUGAGUUCAAACCCCAGCACC